UACGAAUGGUGCAAGCGUUACUCGGAAUCACUGGGCGUAAAGCGCACGUAGGCGGACUUACAGGUCAAUUGUGAAAUACCUGGGCUCAACCCGGGAACUGCAGUUGAAACCGUUUGUCUUGAAUACCUGAGAGGGUGGGGGAAUACCUGGUGGAGAAGUGAAAUUCGUAGAGAUCAGGUGGAACACCGGAGGCGAGGGCGCCUGCCUGGCAGUGUAUUGACGCUGAGGUGCGAAAGUGCGGGGAGCAAACGGG
rnacentral:rRNA from 1 species